rnacentral:pre_miRNA from 1 species
AAAAAGGCAAACCCUGGGUUUGCGUGUCCAACUUUGACUGUCCGUCUUAUAUGAAAUUUUUUUAUAAUUCGUAUUUUCAUUGUUGUUAGAUGAUAAAACAUGAUUAAUAUUUUAUGCGUGAUUUGUCUUUUUAAUUUUUUUAUUUUUUUUAAAUAAAACGGACGGUUAAACGUUAGGCACGGAAAC